CCUACGGGUGGCAGCAGUGAGGAAUAUUGGUCAAUGGACGAGAGUCUGAACCAGCCAAGUAGCGUGAAGGAUGACUGCCCUAUGGGUUGUAAACUUCUUUUAUAUGGGAAUAAAAUGUUCCACGUGUGGGAUGUUGUAUGUACCAUAUGAAUAAGCAUCGGCUAACUCCGUGCCAGCAGCCGCGGUAAUACGGAGGAUCCGAGCGUUAUCCGGAUUUAUUGGGUUUAAAGGGAGCGUAGGGGGGUUGUUAAGUCAGUUGUGAAAGUUUGCGGCUCAACCGUAAAAUUGCAGUUGAAACUGGCAGUCUGGAGUACAGGAGAGGUGGGCGGAAUGCGUGGUGUAGCGGUGAAAUGCUUAGAUAUCGCGAAGAACUCCGAUUGCGAAGGCAGCGCACUGGACUCAAACUGACACUGAGGCACGAAAGUGUGGGUAUCAAACAGGAUUAGAUACCCCGGUAGUC
rnacentral:rRNA from 1 species